UUCCUCCGCGGCGGCCGCCACCUACUGCUGCCCCGUCAGCCACGCGCGGGUGCACCUCUCGCUGUCUGGAGCCGGGGAAUUUCGGCAGCGGGGCAAAAACCGUGGCUGGGGAGGAUCCGCGGGGUGUCACGGGAGCUGAGGGCGGGGAGAGCUGCCGGUUCCCGCUGCGGUAGUCCCGCGCGGCGUGGCGCGUGUCCCGCACCGGGUCCCCAUGCGUGGCUCACCUGUGGUCCGGCCCUCCCCGGUGCGGGACCUCCUGGCGCUGCGUGUGGCCGGGGACGCCGUGUUGCUCCGCGGCGCCCCGUGGACAGCAGGAGCCCUCACAGGUGGUGCGAUCAGCAAAUCAUUAAGAAUUACUUCCUCCUUAUCCAUAUCUUCAAAGACCUGGGAUGUGAACCUUCCUUUUGUGAUCCAGCAGCAGCUGAAGCAUUCCUGAAAGGAAACCGGUUGAACAUAUGUGGCAAUUGCUGCAUCUGGCACAAAGAUGUUACAUGAUCGUUAACGGGAAGUGAAACUGAGCCAGUUUCUCUUCAAAAUGUGGCCAGCCCUGUGGGAUGAUUUGAGAACUCCUGCUUCAAAUAUGUUUAGGUGUGUCUUUGUAGAGACUGCUUCGGUGUUCUUCACCUCCUGACACUGACGCUUCUGCUGUGCAUAGCUGUGAUUCCUGCAUAAUUUAACAGAGCCAUCUCAGGUGUCUCCCACUCUGUUCAGAGCAUUUGUGGGGUGUUCUUCGGAAUUUGGCACACAGCUUGUAUCACAUUACAUUUACAGAAGAGUUUAUCAUACUUGCUUAUUUAGAAAAUUUCCUAGAGAACAAGGUUGGUUUCAUUUUUAAACACGUAUAUUUGAGCGGCUCCCAAAGUAUUAGCUGACUCCAGUCAAGUUUUUUAUUUCCUGAUAUGAGUAUAAUCAAUAUUAUUCAUUUUUCUGUCUCACAUUCCAGCAUUGUUGGUGCAAGUGAAAUAAAUUCUCGUAGACAUAUUUUUUUCUGAUGCAUUGUAAAUGCUUGCUGGGUUUUUUAUGUUACUGUUUCAUCUUCAUAGUAUUCCAGCAGGCAGGCUUGUGGCAAGCAGGAAGGACUGGCUGAAUGGAACUGGAAUCAGCAAAAAACCUGUUUCAGUCAUUGCAAACUGAGGGUACUGGAAAAUAUGUAAAAAUAGAUUCAUUUGUUAAUUUGUUAAAAGCGUGUUUAUUUUGUGUUCUCACUUCUUCCUGUUAUAAUUGCAAAACCUUCUGAAAUUUUUUGUUCAGCAAAACUGAAGUAUAUCUAGGUACAGUAAAUGAAUUAUGCAAAUUAUUUUAUUGAAAGAACAUGCAUGUUCCUGUGUAUACAUUAUUUGCCUGAUCUUCCUAUUACAGAUGUAACCUGUAGUAAAAUCCUAGUUUGUUAAAGCAAAGGAGUGCUCUAGAGACUCCAAAUUUCUGACUGUUAUGGUAGAAAUCUGUCAUGUUUUUUGUAGGGCACAUAGAGCUUGAAUACAUUAAUAUGAUUAAAUAUUAAAAUAUGGUAAACAUUAUUUUUUGUUGAUUUAGGUUGUUUUCCUGAGGAAACAGGGCUUAUAUUUUGAUGUUCAUGACAAUCAGUCUGUGAGUUCCCCCUUAGCAAUUUCUGAAUUUUUCUAGCUGCACUUAAUUUAAUUUUAACUUUCUUCUUUCAUUAUUACGUUUAUAAAAAUCUCAAAAUACAUCAGGUUUUUUCCCUUCAACUUGUAAACUUUUGCUGUCUAUAGAGUUCUCGGUGUUCUUCUGUGAGACCACCUUUAUGAUUUUCUGCUACAUGAGAAUUUCUCCUCAGGAUCCAUCUGAGUAUCAUAAAGGUAGACACAUGAUGUAGACAGACACCUUCAGGACUGACCCUUAUAUUCUUUUGCAUGCUCAGUGAGCUUGCCAUGGCUGUUCAUGCUGUGCAUAUUUUUAAUAUUUGUACAGUUUUGAUAAAUAACCAAGCUCAAUUUUGUCUCUUCACCAAAUGUUGCUCUUGUUCUUCCUGCUGUCUUAGUUUUCCUCACUGCAAACCACAUUGAUAUCCCUUCUGCCAUCCCUACCACCAACUUCUCACAAAAUAGAAACUAAAUAAAGUUGAUUGAGCAGAAAUACAACAGUUUGUCUCACAACAAUUUACUUUUUGAUUGAUAU